CCUACGGGAGGCAGCAGUGGGGAAUAUUGGGCAAUGGGGGCAACCCUGACGCAGCAACGCCGCGUGAUUGAAGAAGGCUUUCGGGUUGUAAAGCUCUUUUAUCGGGGACGAAUUUUGACGGUAGUCGAAGACUAAGCUUCGGCUAACUACGUGCAAGCAGCCGCGGUAAAACGUCGGGCGCAAGGGUUAUCCGGAUUUACUGGGUGGAACGGGUGUGUAGGCGGGUAUGCGAGACCGAAGGGAAAUCGGGUGGCUUAACCCGCAAACUGCAUUUGGAACUGAUUGACUUGAGUGAAGGAGAGGCAAGUGGAAGUCCAAGUGUAGCGGUGGAAUGCGUAGAUAUUUGGAGGAACACCAGUGGCGAAGGCGGCCUGCUGGACUGUAACUGACGCUGAGGCUCGAAAGCGUGGGUAGCAAACAGGAUUAGAUACCCGGGUAGUC
rnacentral:rRNA from 1 species